UGCCAGCAGCCGCGGUAAUACGGAAGGUGCAAACGUUGUUCGGAUUCACUGGGCAUAAAGAGCUCGUAGGCGGUUUGGUCAGUCUGACUGUGAAAUCCCUCGGCUUAACCGAGGAACUGCAUUAGAUACUGCCAGACUAGAGUGCAGGAGAGGAGAGUGGAAUUCCUGGUGGAGCGGUGAAAUGCGUAGAUAUCAGGAGGAACACCAGUGGCGAAAGCGACUCUCUGGCCUGCUACUGACGCUGAGGAGCGAAAGCUAGGGGAGCGAACGGGAUUAGAUA
rnacentral:rRNA from 1 species